rnacentral:rRNA from 1 species
UACAGAGGGGGCAAGCGUUAUUCGGAAUUAUUGGGCGUAAAGGGUGCGUAGGCGGCGCGGUAAGUCGGGUGUGAAAUCUCGGGGCUUAACUCCGAAACUGCAUUUGAUACUGCGUGCUUGAGGACUGGAGAGGAGACUGGAAUUUACGGUGUAGCGUGAAAUGCGUAGAGAUCGUAAGGAAGACCAGUGGCGAAGGCGGGUCUCUGGGCCUUACCUGACGCUGAGGAGCGAAAGCGUGGGGGAGUGAACAGG